rnacentral:rRNA from 1 species
UGCUGGAGGUAUCAGAAGUGCGAAUGCUGACAUAAGUAACGAUAAUGCGGGUGAAAAACCCGCACGCCGGAAGACCAAGGGUUCCUGUCCAACGUUAAUCGGGGCAGGGUGAGUCGACCCCUAAGGCGAGGCCGAAAGGCGUAGUCGAUGGGAAACAGGUUAAUAUUCCUGUACUCGGUGUUACUGCGAAGGGGGGACGGAGAAGGCUAUGUUGGCCGGGCGACGGUUGUCCCGGUUUAAGCAUGUAGGCGGAUGUUCCAGGUAAAUCCGGAACGUCACUAACGCUGAGGUGUGAUGACGAGGCACUACGGUGCUGAAGUGACAAAUGCCCUGCUUCCAGGAAAAGCCUCUAAGCAUCAGGUAACAUCAAAUCGUACCCCAAACCGACACAGGUGGUCAGGUAGAGAAUACCAAGGCGCUUGAGAGAACUCGGGUGAAGGAACUAGGCAAAAUGGUGCCGUAACUUCGGGAGAAGGCACGCUGAUGGUAGGUGAAGUGACUUGCUCAUGGAGCUGAAAUCAGUCGAAGAUACCAGCUGGCUGCAACUGUUUAU